GACGAACGCUGGCGGCGUGCUUAACACAUGCAAGUCGAACGGAAAGGCCCUGCUUUUGUGGGGUGCCCGAGUGGCGAACGGGUGAGUAACACGUGAGUAACCUGCCCUUGACUUUGGGAUAACUUCAGGAAACUGGGGCUAAUACCGGAUAGGAGCUCCUGCUGCAUGGUGGGGGUUGGAAAGUUUCGGCGGUCGGGGAUGGACUCGCGGCUUAUCAGCUUGUUGGUGGGGUAGUGGCUUACCAAGGCUUUGACGGGUAGCCGGCCUGAGAGGGUGACCGGCCACAUUGGGACUGAGAUACGGCCCAGACUCCUACGGGAGGCAGCAGUGGGGAAUAUUGCACAAUGGGCGGAAGCCGGAUGCAGCAACGCCGCGUGCGGGAUGACGGCCUUCGGGUUGUAAACCGCUUUCGCCUGUGACGAAGCGUGAGUGACGGUAAUGGGUAAAGAAGCACCGGCUAACUACGU
rnacentral:rRNA from 1 species